rnacentral:sRNA from 1 species
CUUGAAUUAUAGGGCAACAAAAAUGUUUUCUCUCAACAAUUUCAUGCCGGAAACGGCGUCGUCUAUGUUCUCAGCCUAUGCCUCCUUUGCAACCUUCAUGAUGAUCUUCCGUUCCAUGGCCAACGACUUCAUCCCGGACCCUCUCCGCACCUAUAUUUCCUCCUCCCUCAGUUACCUUUUUAGCCCUCUCUCCGGCCUCUUCUCUUUUUACCUCACUCUCGCCUUCUACGAGUACUCCGACAUGUCCCGCAACCAAGUCUACGAUGCCGCCGCGGUCUACCUCGAGAAAAAGAUCGGCCCCGCCACGCAGCGUCUCCGCAUCAGCAAAACGCCCCGGAAGAAGUCCAUGGGCGUCGCCAUCGACAGAGACGAGGAAGUCAUCGACACGUUCGACAACAUCAAGCUCAAGUGGCUGCUAGUCACCGAAACAAAGACCGGGAACAACAACAGGCUGCGCUACUUUGAGCUGUCGUUCCGCAAGAAACACAAGGAAAGAGUGAUGGGCAGCUACUUGCCCCACGUGCUUGCCCAGGCAACCGCCAUGAAGCAAGAAGAAAAGGUUCUCAAGAUUUAUAAACGUCAUAUCUUGUCAUGGGAGGACGUCGUUGAGGAUGGCAACACUGAAUGGGGAUCCAUAAACAUGGAGCACCGGGCUACGUUUGAGACAAUGGCGCUGGAGCCAGAUCUCAAGAAAACCAUUGUAGAGGAUUUGGAGAGGUUUGUGAGUAGGAGGGAGUUUUACAAGAAGGUGGGCAAGGCUUGGAAAAGAGGCUACUUGUUGUAUGGCCCGGCCGGCACCGAAAAAUCCAGCCUGAUUGCGGCCAUGGCUAAUUUUCUCAAGUUUGAUGUGUUUGAUUUGGAGCUUGCUAGCAUUCGCAGCGACUCUCAUUUGAAGAGGGUUUUGUUGUCUACCACAAACCGUUCCAUUUUGGUCAUUGAGGACAUUGACUGCUGUAAGGUGGAUGUUCAAAAACGAAAACUUGAUUUGGAUUCAGAUUCAGAUUCAGAUUCGUAUUCUGAUUCGAUUCGGAUUUGGAAACGGAGAAGAAGUCGAAACCUAAUACUAAGACCGGGGUCAGUAUACUUUAUAUUUGUUUGUUAUAUAUUUUGGUGUUAUAGAAUCAAUCAAUAUGUUGCAUGAUGCAGGUGACGCUCUCGGGCUUGUUGAACUUCAUUGAUGGUUUGUGGUCAAGCUGCGGUGAUGAGAGAAUAAUUGUCUUCACCACCAACCGCAAGGAGAAGCUUGACCCUGCAUUGCUACGUCCUGGCCGAAUGGACCUCCACAUCCACUUGUCGUAUUGCACGACAAGUGGGUUCAGGAUCUUAGCCUCUAACUACCUCGGAAUUCGUGACGACAACCGCCCUCGCCUCUGUGGUGAAGUGGAAGGGUUGAUAAAGAGCACAGAGGGGACACCUGCAGAGGUUGCGGAGGAGCUCAUGAAGAGUGAUGAUGCUGAUGUUGCUCUUCAGGGACUUGUCAAUUUCAUCAUCAAGAAGAAGAUUGAGACUGAGAGGUACAUGAACAAAUUGAAAACCAAGAAGAAACGACGUCGUAGAAGACGGAUCAGAAACUUGUUCAACUUCCAUCUUUCGUGAUUUUGAUUUUCCCACAUAUGACUUUGUGUGUAUGCGGUUGGGACUUUGCUUAUUUGUUUAACAAAAAUUUGUUAUGAAUGUUGGGUUUUGUAAAUUUGUAUCUGAAUGGUCCAAUGAAUUUUGGAACUGUGGAAAUGGGCUUUGUCAAAUUCAGAGGAAAGCAUCAGGGUGAGAGAAAAGUUCUUUGAGCAACUACAGUCUCCUCUCUCUCUGUCUC